GACGAACGCUGGCGGCGUGCUUAACACAUGCAAGUCGAACGGAAAGGCCCUGCUUUUGUUGGGUGCUCGAGUGGCGAACGGGUGAGUAACACGUGAGUAACCUGCCCUUGACUUUGGGAUAACUUCAGGAGACUGGGGCUAAUACCGGAUAGGAGCUCCUGCUGCAUUGUGGGGGUUGGAAAGUUUCGGCGGUUGGGGAUGGAAUCGCGGCUUAUCAUCUUGUUGGUGGGGUAGUGGCUUACCAAGGCUUUGACGGGUAGCCGGCCUGAGAGGGUGACCGGCAACAUUGGGACGGAGAUACGGCACAGACUCCUACGGGAGGCAGCAGUGGGGAAUAUUGCACAAUGGGAGGAAGCCUGAUGCAGCAAAGCGGCGUGCGGGAUGACGGCAUUCGGGUUGUAAACCGCUUUCGCCUGUGACGAAGCGUGAGUGACGGUAAUGGGUAAAGAAGCAACGGCUAACUACGUG
rnacentral:rRNA from 1 species